rnacentral:misc_RNA from 1 species
AUUGUUUACACACAUGAAAGCCCUAGA